rnacentral:misc_RNA from 1 species
UUUAUUUAUUUAUUUUCAAUUUUCUUUCCUUUGUUUGGCUGCUGGGAAAAUUUGGUUGUGCCCCUGCUUUCCGAGUAAUAAUGAGAUUGAUAUUUGCAUUUCCUUACUUCUGUCUUAGUUUAUAGCCUUUUUUGCAUCCAAUUUCCUCUGGAAUGACUCCCUUUUGCACUUCAUGACUAAAUUUUAGUGGACGCAUAUCUAUUAAAAAUAAUUUCACUUUGAAAAUUGCUGUGGAAUUUGUUUAAUCUGUGAGUCUACCCUUUUCAUUUGUUGUUGUUUAUAUUUUUGGAUACCAUUUUUAUGAAUUUGAAGCUAAAUUGUAAGUUCUUAUAAUGAUUUGUUUAAAUUCUUGUUCAAAUUCUGCUAUCUAUUGUUAAUUCUUGUCUGAAUUCUUGUUUUUAGUUGGGUUAUCUGUUGUGAUUUGUUUUUAUUUAUACUAUGGCAUCUAUUGGAAUUGGGCUUUGGGAUUGGACUGGGUGGGAGAGAACUAGUUGCUUAGCCUCAAUACCCUGUCAUUUCCAGCACAUUGCUGGUAUAUUCAUGAAUAUGAGUUCAGGUUAUUUGUAGCUAUGAUACAGACUACAGAGUGUCCUCUUAUUUGCCAACUGUUCAUGUUAUUACCAAUUGUUUCCUGCUGAGCAAGAUAAUGAUGUGCUAAAGAAUGCAUAUUGGUGUGGAUUAUACAUCCC